GCCCCAAACCAUCGCCCGUCAAGGCGAGCGC
rnacentral:sRNA from 1 species